rnacentral:rRNA from 1 species
AUUGAACGCUGGCGGCAGGCCUAACACAUGCAAGUCGAGCGGAGCGGCGGACGGGUGAGUAAUGCCUAGGAAUCUGCCUGGCAGUGGGGGAUAACGUCCGGAAACGGGCGCUAAUACCGCAUACUAUCAGACGAGCCUAGGCCGGUUUAGCUAGUUGGUGGGGAAAAGGCCUACGAAGGCGACCAUCCGUAACUGGUCUGAGAGGAUGAUCAGUCACACUGGAACGGGGACAGGUUCCAGACUCCUACGGGAGGAAGUGGUGGGGAAUAUUUAACAAGGGGCGAAAGCCUGAUCCAGCCAUGCCGCGUGAGUAAAGAAGGUCUUGGGAUUGAAAAGAACUUUAAGUUGGGAGGCGUUACCGACAGAAUAAGCACCGGCUAACUUCGUGCCAGCAGCCGCGGGAAUG